AUUGAACGCUGGCGGAAUGCUUUACACAUGCAAGUCGAACGGCAGCACGGACUUCGGUCUGGUGGCGAGUGGCGAACGGGUGAGUAAUGUAUCGGAACGUAUCCAAUAAUGGGGGAUAACUAGUCGAAAGAUUAGCUAAUACCGCAUACGCCCUACGGGGGAAAGCUAGGGACCUUCGGGCCUGGCGUUAAUGGAGCGGCCGAUAUCUGAUUAGCUAGUUGGUGAGGUAAAAGCUCACCAAGGCGACGAUCAGUAGCUGGUCUGAGAGGACGACCAGCCACACUGGAACUGAGACACGGACCAGACUCCUACGGGAGGCAGCAGUGGGGAAUUUUGGACAAUGGGCGAAAGCCUGAUCCAGCCAUUCCGCGUGAGUGAAGAAGGCCUUCGGGUUGUAAAGCUCUUUCGCAAGAGAAGAAAACUUACCCUCUAACAUAGGGUGAGGCUGACGGUAUCUUGAUAAGAAGCACCGGCUAACUACGUGCCAGCCGCCGCGGUAACAC
rnacentral:rRNA from 1 species